rnacentral:rRNA from 1 species
UGAGGAAUAUUGGUCAAUGGGCUUACGCCUGAACCAGCCAAAUCGCGUGAGGGAAGACUGCCCUAUGGGUUGUAAACCUCUUUUGUCAGGGAGCAAUUGGCGCUACGUGUAGCGUUAUCGAGAGUACCUGAAGAAAAAGCAUCGGCUAACUCCGUGCC